AUGUUCUUCAUCACGCGACCCUUGAAUAUUCAAAGUCGAGAGCCUAAAAGCGUCGAGGAGGACAAUACAUCUCUGUAUUUUAAAAGGUUUUGGCGAUAUAUUAUUAGCCUAUCUGUCUCUACGCUGAAAAAUCCAUUUCGGUUUUUCCGCGAAGCUCCAAAAAUCUAUGAAAUGUGUUUGCAUGUUCUUCUCCGCGAGCGGGGAUGUAGAGGUGGGAUUGCGAGAAUCGAAAGGUUGGAGAGCCCACACGCUCAGUUUCCGAGAAAGCUUGGAGACGGACCGCUUGGACAGUGGGAGCCCUCCCCUCCUCUUCGUUCUGGUUUGGUAGGUGCGAAUAAAAAAGGGCCCGUGUUUGCAAAUAUGCAGAUAGGCUACAUAAGAGGGAGGGAGGGGGGAUCAUACUUUGUCGAAGUCUGCUGAAAGUUGGGUUGUCAUCUUCCUAACGAUCAAGUUAACUAGGGGAAUGGGAGAAUGGUUAUUCUAUCUAUACCCUCAAACGUGCUGGUGCAGACCAUACGCUGACACCGCAGAGACCGUGGUUUCAGAUCAUUGAGUCUAGACAAAAGGUAUUUUUGUGCUUUAAUAUUAGAUACAAUUAGGAUUCUCGGCUCUCAGACGCAUGUGAAAUGAUGCACACACUGUUAUUGGGUUAGAAUGGCCAUAAUGGUCAUUUUGCUCUGCCAUUCUCAUUUGCUAAUUUUCCUCGGAUAAUGUUGUCAAUGCAGAAAAUGUUUGUAGAUAUUGUGGAGAGCGGUUCUUUCAUUCAAAGAUUUUAAGGGGUGAAAAUUGAAACUGUGAAUCAUCUGUUAAUGACGUGCGCUCCAAGAAACUUGACGCUCUCCGUUAAUAUUUGCCAUUGAAAUUACGGCACUUUGCAUUGGAUCUUGAUUAUGUUUAUGAAUGUUAUGCUUUUAAUAACAGGUGGCGAUGAGGCAUCUCUUUACGUGGAGAUAAAUCGAAACUGAACUUUGUUUUCUGCAGUGUUCUCUUUUAAUCAUCAACAAUGUUUUUGUGAAAAUGCAUAAUGGAUGAAAAAUAGCAAUAUUGUUUAAUUUGUUUAUGAUUUAGUUCGUGCAUAGCCAAUACUUAUCCUAAGAACAGUAUGCCAGUUGUUCUCAGAGUGAUUUUAUUGUAGAGGAACAUGUUUGUUCUUCAUUGUUCCGCAUGCGACGACCAGCCAGUCUCCUGCGCGCCAUGUCCCCGUGACAUAGCAGUUGCAAGCCGGGAUUUAUCGCGACCCCCUGGUACUGCCUCAAUCCGCCACCGGCAGUGGCGCUCGUAUGGGCUUCAUGUUCUUGCAAAUUAGUCACGAUUUAACACACAGUGGCAUGCAUACAAUUUGGACUAUUUUAACUCGGGAAUGGAAAAGAAACAGAAAGGCGCAGCAGGUUGUGGGAUAUUUAAUUCUGGUCCUUAUAAACUUCAAUGGGUCUCGUGCACAAAUGUGACUGACUGUGUGUGUGUGUGUGUCUGUGAGUGAGUGAGUGAGUGAGUGUGACGUGAGUGCGUGACUGCUCGUGUGUGAGUCAGAGCAGGGAGGGGGUGGUUGAGAGAGGGGGCUAGGAAGAUAUGUGUGAGUGUCUGCGUGACCGCGGUCUGGAGGGAAGUGUUGCAUUUGGCUCUGCAUUACCUGAACUAAUAAGUAGCCUAUAGCCGAGCUAUCUGGCAACGUCCCAUAAAAUAUGACACUUUUUGGCUUGUUGUCAGAUGUUUUGGUUUCACGAUUGAUGACAAACAUGACUAGGCCUAUUUAUUUAUGAAUACAUACAGUAUUUGAAAAGUGCCAUAUUGACAGUAUUAUCUAGCCUACUUUUUAAACUUGCAUAUAUUUAUAGUCAGGCUAUUUUGUAUAGGCCUAAUUAAUAAUUUAUGAAUACAAAAAAUAUUUUGAAGAGUAUUAUGCUAUGUUCUAAACAUCUAAAUUAGUCUUAGGCCUAUAUCAUAACUUGAGUGUGACUUUUUUAAAACUUGAAUAUGCCAAAGAUGUUUGAGUUAUUUUAGUGGGUAUGUCCAUUUUGCUUAUAUAUUCCAUACAGUACCCCUUCUCGUUGGCCUUGGGGAGUCUGUAUGGUCAGACUGUUCGGGAUGGUUAUUCAGCCGAGAGGGGCCAAUUACCGCCGUGCUCUGAGCUCCAGGGAGGAAGCACGAGCCAUGUAUCCAGCAGCUCCCACUGACGUAAUCAAUGUAGAGUAGACCUAUAUAAGGGGGGAGAGUGGGUGCUUCGGUGAAAGCAUAGUGGGAAAGUGUUAUUAUGUUUGAUAGUGGCAGUCCUUUUUGUGAUGCUACCAGGAGAAGUAUACUAGUUGGGUGAUACAAAAGGAGCUGUGGUAGAAGUCAUAACUGCAGAAAGUAUAGAUAGCCUUUACAGAUCCUUAGGCUGCUACUGGCAUGAUGGUAAUGACGUCAUUGAGGAAGAUGUAAACAACAACAAUGUCUACACAAACAACACUGUAUUUCUUUAAUAUGUAAGACAUUGGCACAUUUCUUUUUCUCAUAUAACAAUGGAUACACAUAACCUUUUCCCAGCAAUAUAACCAACCUGUUCCUCAUUAUGCAAUCAUUUUUUUCCCUUCUAAUCAUCACCACCAUCAUCAUCAUUAUCAUCAUCAUCUUAGCAGUAGCAGAAUUUGGUAUAUUUCUAUUCAGAGAGAAUACACUGAUUGGUUACAGAAACUGGGGGACUGUUGAGUGACAGAGAAGAGAGACUGUAAGGUCUACAGGUUUGGAAGAUAUUUUAAUUUUAAAAAAAAGUUACCUUUAUUUAACUAGGCAAGUCAGUUAAGAACAAAUUCUUAUUUUACAAUGACGGCUAAACCCUCCCCUAACCCGGACGAUGUUUGACCAAUUGGGACUCCCGGUCCCUAUGGGACUCCCGAUCACGGCCGGUUGGGAUACAGCCCGGGAUCGAACCAGGGUCUGUAGUGAUGCCUCUAACACUGAGAUGCAGUGCGUUAGACCACUGGCAUUUAAAUGCCUAGGGAGCGUGUGAAUGACAUGGAGGAGGAACAGAGUGAGAGUGAUAUUAAGAGAGGGUGAAAACAUGAAGGGAGAGACUGAAUGACAUGGAGGAGGGACGUAGGCUGUUAUAGAGUCAUUGACAUUGGAAGAGG
rnacentral:lncRNA from 13 species